rnacentral:lncRNA from 1 species
UAAAGAUUAGUAAUAUGUAAAUGAAAACUUCUAGACCAGCAGUAGAGAGCUUACCUGUAUUUUGUUUUAUUCCUUUUCCUUUUUUUUUUCCCCUAGAGAAAAAUGACAGGGACUCACUUUCCAAGAAAUUACACUAUGUUCAAUGACUUCCCAUCAAGAGUAAGCAAUGUUCCGUAUCCUGCCAUUGCGGCUGAUGCCCCGGCUGAGGAGGGAGGACACGCCUGCAUUUCACAACUGGUUGUGAUCACAUCUGGCGCAGGGCCUAGGUCAGAGCCACGGAUCUGUCAACAUGACCUCUUUCGAUCACUGCAGAGUGUGCAGGAGGGCUUAAGUUCCUAGAAACGGACCAGAUGUGAAACCCAUCCAAAUGGAAUGAGCUCUUCUGAAGAACCUUGCUUAGUGGCAGGAGACGAGUUCUGUGUCAGAGUCUGAAGCCUAGAUCCUGGACCCAAAGCCACAACUUGCUGCAGGCCUGGCCAAGCUGCCGUGGGUCCUCGAGGGUGGCUCACUUCGCCACGAAGCCUGUUCCUCCUUCCUUUAUUUGACAUUCAUCUGCUCCUUUGGGAAGAGCCACCUCUGCUCACCACACUAGCAGCAUGCAGCACUGGCCUCACUCUGAAAUUAGCUGCUUUUUAGUAGACUCCUGUUUCUAAUUGUCACUUCCUGGAGGCAGAGUCAGCCAGCCCCUCUCAUGGCUUCUCAGUUCUCCAGCUGGGAUUUCUGGAGGCCACUGGGAGGCCACUUGCAUUUUUGCUGCCUUCCAACCCUCGGCUCUGUUGUCGGCUCAUGAAUGAACAAGCAGCAGCAUUUCCCUGCUGGUAUGGGCUCCCCACUGCCGUGGGGCACUCACCACCGGCAGAGGGGGGCAGGUGUCCUGAAAGGACUGGACCAGCUGUGGGUGUCAAGGUGGACGCUGGCUUGGCUCUGGCAGCUCGGGCUCAGCAUGCUGAGCUGAACCAUCCGAGGCUCCUCCGGGAAACAGGUUGAGCAAAUCUCUCUUCUCCCUCUCUGGGCUCAUGCAUAUUCAUCAGCAGAACAACUCCAGGCCAAAGAUAAUGAUUCAUGCAGGAAGCGCCAUUCUGAACAUUAUUAUCUGGGAGUGACAAAUGAAUUUCUAAUUUAACAUGUGUAUUGCACAAAUAGAUCACAAGAACUUUAAAGUCAAAAGCAUCCUUUGGAGUCAUGCAACUUCUGUUGUAACGUAGCGUAAAAUGGUAGAGGAAGAGCGUCUCCCCACUGGUGGGCUGUGCGUAGCUGUUCCCUUCAAAGCAGAGGAGAAAUGAAAGGGGGUGUGAUUUCAGACACCGCUUGAGUCUACAAUAGAAGCCAAUAAUGAUGGCCAAGAAUGGAACAACAGUGACAACAACAAAGGGCCGGCCACUGGCACGAGCACGAUCAUUGUUUCGAGUUAUUACUUGGAGAUGAGCGGAGUACUCUUUCCCUCCCGUCCCUGCCGACAACAGAAAUGCAGUAAAGGCCACUUGGGUUCAUUGGUUGCUCAGUAAGAGUCAGAAGCCAGUGACCAUGAGGCGAGACUGAGGAGGGAAUGGGGGAAUUGAUUUGAGUUGUGUUCCAGUACCAGUUUCAUGUUGAAAUGUUAAUUUAUAGCAUGAUAAUGUGAUAGCUACACCGUCUGCCUGUCAGCAAAGAUUGGCCACUUCCAGCUUGUCAGAGCUGACAGUCAAGCACGAAAUGGCUACUGUCAGGGAGUGGCAGCUCUUGGAAGACUAAGUCUUAAGCCAUUUCUUAACGUUCUGUGUCCCUGUCCUCACUGCCCGCUCCCAUCCCUCUUCUUUCCAACGGCGAGAAUAAACCAGCUGCCCGUCCCUUCACCUACUCUCACAUUCCUCCAAAGCCUGUGGAAAACUCAGACUUCUGGAAAACGGGAAAUCUGCUCUUGGUUUUGCUUUUUUGAGCUAAUAAUGACAUUUGAUGUUUACUAGAUACAAGGUGCUGUGAUCCAGCACAUUACCUUUAUGACCUCAUUAAAUUCUCACAGCCAUCAAUGACAAAAAUGCUAGUAUCCCCAAUUUACUGAGGAGGAAACUGAGGCUCUCAGAGGCUAAGUCACAUGUCUAAAUUCACGUGAACUAAGUCUGUGCUUGGCAGAGGCAGGAAUAGAGACCAGGUCUGCUAGACUUCAGGGACCACCCUCUUCAUUACUAAGCUCUAAGAUCUAAUGUCGGAGAAGGGUGUCCUUUUAGGGAUGAUUGCACAAAUGUUGACCAAGUGAAACCCUGGUGCAGGACCUCCCUUAAGCUGGUCAGUGAGGUCCCCUGGCUUUGUCCACCUGUUUUCCGUUUGGUGAGAUGAGGUGCUGACAGGGCUAAGGACAGGUGCCCAUCUGGGCCCCAUAUUCCCUCUCCACCAUGCUCUGGCAGGAUGAGGCUUUAAAACCUCACCACUCAAGCUCAGCAGAAAAGCUUUUGCUUUUCUCUAAUAGUCUCAGCUCUGAUUGGGUCUCCUGCCCCAAAUUAAACCGAUCACUGAGGCCAGGGGAUGUAGUACUGUGAUUGGCCAGGCUGAGUCACAUGUUUACUGCUGGAGGUGUGGAUGAAGUCCUCAUCACCAGAAUGAUCUGGUCUGAGAGCAAGAGAAAGGUGGUGGUCCCAAAGAAGGGGAAAGAAGUGUUGACCAGACAAAACCAACAGGUGUCAAGUCUCUUGAUGGUUGGCAAGUCUCUCUGCCUCCUGUAGGUUCUAAAGGUUAUAGGAGAGAGAGAGAGUAAUUUGAGGAGGGAUGCAGAAGGGAACGGAAAAUCAGAGGGAAAGAUAGAAGGAUCCUUUCAGAGAGGUUUGCUCAGAAAUGGAAACAGAGAAGAACCAGAAAGAUUUCUCUUCAACUCCUCAAGAGAGAGAGAACACACAGGAAGAAAUGCUUUAUCAGCCCAGCCGUGUCUGAUUCCCCCUUCCCCUACCACACAGGCCAGUGAUCUUCAGUUUUUGUUCUGAAGAUACCCAAAGCUCUGGGAGGAUUCCUCAGGCUCUUUUAGAGGCAACUGCAAAGUGGGAUCUGGAGAAAGCUCAGUGGGGAAAGCUAAGACCCCUCCUGGCUUCAUUCCCUUUCCCCAUAUUUCCUUUCAGUGCAUUUCUACGUAAGACCUUGUUUGGAGGGGAAAAAAAAGAGUUCCUCUGCCAAACACUGCUCUACACCAAGAUAUUCUUAAAGAAUAAAGUCCUUUUGCUUACCUCUGUCUCCCCGGUGUUGAACGCAGUGCUGGGUAUACAGUACAGACCCAACAAUCACCAGACUAUCAGAUGGAACUGAAAGUGCAGAAUGACAGCCAGGGAAAAGCAAUAGAAUAAAAUUAUGACUGUAAAAUCUUAAACCAUGGAAAGGAAGCUAAGGGCUUUUGGGGGUACACAGAGAACUGGCGAUGCCCUUCACGAUAGUAUGACCACAAAGGCUUGUGUACGAAGAACAGAUGACCAUUUACUCCUCUCUUUUUGGCUGUGGCACAGCUCUAACUGAAGGGGUAAAAUGUUUGUGAUGGGCCCCUUGUUAAUAAUAACAUCACUCUCCCGACAUUUAUCAAGAGCCAGGUAUUUGUGCAUUACCUCAUUUAACUCUCCUAAUGGCCCCAUGAGGCAGAUGCUCUAAUUAUUUUGCUUACAUCAUGGGCUGGAGAGAUUAUGGCCUGGACAGGCCAAGGUCAUACUUCUAAUAGGGCAAGGCCAGGGUAUCUAUCCACCUGUCUGAUUCCAGGGGCACAGUCCUUAAGCAGUAUGGUAUUUGCUCCCCACAUGAGAGUGUAUUUCUGUUGGUCCUGCAGAAACACCUAAUGUUUUAGAGUUCAGGCAACUAGCGAGAGGAGCAUUGAUGAGCUGAAGCCCCUCAGCU